rnacentral:rRNA from 1 species
AGGGUGUAAACGCUGCAGACUUGGUGUUGGAAGUCCUUUGGGGGCAUUCAGUGCCGGAGAGAAGUUGUUAAGUCUGCUACUUGGGGAGUACGUCCGCAAGGAUGAAACUUAAAGGAAUUGGCGGGGGAGCACCACAACAGGUGGAGCCUGCGGUUUAAUUGGACUCAACGCCGGACAACUCACCGGGAACGACAGCAAUAUGUAGGCCAGGCUGAAGACCUUGCCUGAAUCGCUGAGAGGAGGUGCAUGGCGUAGACGUCU